rnacentral:rRNA from 1 species
CCUACGGGUGGCAGCAGUGGGGAAUAUUGGACAAUGGGCGAAAGCCUGAUCCAGCCAUGCCGCGUGUGUGAAGAAGGCCUUCGGGUUGUAAAGCACUUUCAGUGGGGAAGAAAGCCUUGGGGCUAAUACCCUCGAGGAAGGACAUCACCCACAGAAGAAGCACCGGCUAACUCCGUGCCAGCAGCCGCGGUAAUACGGAGGGUGCGAGCGUUAAUCGGAAUUACUGGGCGUAAAGCGCGCGUAGGCGGUCUGAUAAGCCGGUUGUGAAAGCCCCGGGCUCAACCUGGGAACGGCACCCGGAACUGUAAGGCUAGAGUGCAGGAGAGGGAGGUAGAAUUCCCGGUGUAGCGGUGAAAUGCGUAGAGAUCGGGAGGAAUACCAGUGGCGAAGGCGGCCUUCUGGACUGACACUGACGCUGAGGUGCGAAAGCGUGGGUAGCAAACAGGAUUAGAUACCCGAGUAGUC